rnacentral:lncRNA from 1 species
GGCGUGUUUCCGGCGAACUUCCGUCGAUCAUCCGACGAACCCUCGGUGAUCCUCCUGCGGACUUCCGGCAAACUCCUGGACUUGCGACGAUCCACUUGGCAAGUUCCGACGAGCUCCUUUGGCAAGCUUCUGGACUUCUCGGAUUUGUUCCCGCAGAACCUCCGACGACUGUCCGAACUUUCGUCGAGCUCUCGAACUCCCAACGUGAUCAUUGUAAUGACUCUGGCGCAACUCCUGCUACAUGUCUUACUUUCAUCGUAGUUAAUCCUGCACAUAUAAAAUAAAAA